rnacentral:rRNA from 1 species
GGGCGAAAGCCUGACGGAGCAACACCGCGUGAAUGAUGACGGUCGUAACGAUUGUAAAGAUCUUUUCUGAGGGAAGAAUUCUGACGGUACCUCAGGAAUAAGCGACGGCUAACUCCGUGCCAGCAGCCGCGGUAAUACGUAGGGUGCAAGCGUUAUCCGGAAUGAUUGGGCGUAAAGCGUCCGCAGGCGGCGAUAUUAAGUCCGAUGUUAAAUCUGGUAGCCCAACUCUGAUGCUGUAUCCGAUACUGUUUUGCUAGAGUCUUUCAGAGGCAUGUGGAAUUCUGUGU